AGGAGAAGUAAAGUUUAA
rnacentral:miRNA from 1 species